CCCAACAGCUAGCCCACCUAAUACCCCUAACACAUACAUAUUUAUACCCCUAAACACGCUUAAUCACGCAACUAAAUCAUUCUUACCCCUAAGUACAGGAGAUGGAAAUGGAUCUCGGCGCAACAGAGAAAGUACCGCAAGGGAACGCUGAAAGAGAAGUGAAAAAUUCAGAAAAGCACAAAACAGCAGAGCUCCCCCCUUGUACCUUUUGCAUCAUGUUUUAGCUAGAGUCUCUCGAGCAAAAAGAAUUUUAGUUCGUUUUCCCGAAACUAGGUGAGCUACUCCAGGACAGCCUAAAAUAGGGCCAACCCGUCUCUGUGGCAAAAGAGUGGGAAGAGCUUUGAGUAGAGGUGAAAAGCCUACCGAACUUAGUUAUAGCUGGUUCCCUGGGAACUGAAUAGAAGUUCAGCCUUUUUGCUUCUCUCCCCCUCCCAAGGACACUCCCUGCACCGAGGCCCUAGAGAAACUUAAAGAGUUAGUCAAAGGGGGUACAGCCCCUUUGAAACAGGACACAACCUUCUUUAGGAGAUUAAGGAUCAUACUCAGCAAGGUAACAUACUUUAGUGGGCCUGAAAGCAGCCACCAAUCGGAAAAGCGUUAAAGCUUAAGUAUAUUAUACCCUCUUAUCCUGAUAGCCCUAUCCUACCCCCCUUGUUUUACCAGGCCUUCCAAUAACCUAUUGGAGCGACCAUGCUAGUAUGAGUAAUCUGAGGGCUCAGCCCCUCUCCCUGCACAAGUGUAACUCGGACCGGACACCCCCCCGAACAUUAACGGCCCCAACACAAGAGGGCAUCAGGCAGAAAACAAAGGACAAGAAAACCGCCCGCUGAUUACCGUUAACCCCACACUGGUGCGCACACAUGGAAAGACUGAAAGAAAAAGAAGGAACUCGGCAAAACUACCCCAAGCCUCGCCUGUUUACCAAAAACAUCGCCUCUUGUACCCCAGAAAUAAGAGGUCCCGCCUGCCCUGUGACUGUAAGUUUAACGGCCGCGGUAUUUUGACCGUGCAAAGGUAGCGCAAUCACUUGUCUUUUAAAUGAAGACCCGUAUGAAUGGCAUAACGAGGGCUUAACUGUCUCCUUUUUCUAGUCAAUGAAAUUGAUCUCCCCGUGCAGAAGCGGGGAUACACACAUAAGACGAGAAGACCCUGUGGAGCUUUAGAUGAGGGAAUGGCCCCUGUCACCCUCCCCUUAAGGGGACAAACUAAAUGGGCCCCCAUUCCAUUAUCUUUGGUUGGGGCGACCGCGGGGGAACAAAAAUCCCCCAUGUGGAAUGGGAAUACAUCUCACAAGUGAGAGCUACAGCUCUAGCUACCAGAACUUCUGACCAACAAGAUCCGGCAUUGCCGAUCAACGGACCGAGUUACCCCAGGGAUAACAGCGCAAUCCUCUUUUAGAGCCCAUAUCGACAAGGGGGUUUACGACCUCGAUGUUGGAUCAGGACAUCCUACUGGUGCAGCCGCUAUUAAGGGUUCGUUUGUUCAACGAUUAAAGUCCUACGUGAUCUGAGUUCAGACCGGAGUAAUCCAGGUCAGUUUCUAUCUAUGCAGUGAUCUCUUCUAGUACGAAAGGACCGAAGAGGGGAGGCCAAUGCUUACAGCAUGCCUCCUCCUCGCCUGCUGAGAACAACUAAAGCAGAUGAGAGGACAUAGCCCCUCCCGGCCUGAGAUAAUGGCAU
rnacentral:rRNA from 1 species